rnacentral:rRNA from 1 species
AGAUUGAACGCUGGCGGCAUGCCUUACACAUGCAAGUCGAACGGUAACAGCACUUCGGUGGCUGACGAGUGGCGAACGGGUGAGUAAUACAUCGGAACGUGCCCGAUCGUGGGGGAUAACUACUCGAAAGAGUGGCUAAUACCGCAUACGAUCUACGGAUGAAAGCGGGGGAUCGCAAGACCUCGCGCGGACGGAGCGGCCGAUGGCAGAUUAGGUAGUUGGUGGGAUAAAAGCUUACCAAGCCGACGAUCUGUAGCUGGUCUGAGAGGACGACCAGCCACACUGGGACUGAGACACGGCCCAGACUCCUACGGGAGGCAGCGAGUGGGGAAUUUUGGACAAUGGGCGAAAGCCUGAUCCAGCAAUGCCGCGUGCAGGAUGAAGGUCCGUUACGGUUAGUAAACGUGUACGUUUUAGUACGGUAACGUAAAAGUUCUUACUACUUAAAGUAC